UCAAAUUACUGGAAGUCAAAAUUCUAAAUACUAAGAUGCCUACUACAUUAUGCCAGAAAAUUACAGGUGUCCUUAUCAACUACCUGAGGAGAAGGGAGACAAAGGGAGAAUUGGAGAAGAUGUUCGCUUCAGUCCUAAUGGCUCUGGGGUCCCAUUUUCCAGAAAUGAUCAUUGUCAAGCUAUGGGACAGACCGAACAUAUACUGUCUGCCCCCAAGGAGCCUCAUGGUUGCAGUGGGGAAGAUAAGCCUUUCCCAAGAUACAGUUUCAUUCAUCGGUUCUAUAUGGAGAUAUAUCCUGCCCCUUCUGAGGUUGGCCCAAAAGGAGAAUGAC